rnacentral:tRNA from 1 species
CACUAAGAAGCUAAAUUAGGGAAACAGCGUUAGCCUUUUAAGCUAAAGAUUGGUGGUCCCCAACCACCCCUAGUGA